UACACAUGCAAGUCGAGCGGUAGCACAGAGAGCUUGCUCUCGGGUGACGAGCGGCGGACGGGUGAGUAAUGUCUGGGAAACUGCUGAUGGAGGGGGAUAACUACUGGAAACGGUAGCUAAUACCGCAUAACGUCGCAAGACCAAAGUGGGGGACUUUCGGGCCUCAUGCCAUCAGAUGUGCCCAGAUGGGAUUAGCUGGUAGGUGGGGUAACGGCUCACCUAGGCGACGAUCCCUAGCUGGUCUGAGAGGAUGACCAGCCACACUGGAACUGAGACACGGUCCAGACUCCUACGGGAGGCAGCAGUGGGGAAUAUUGCACAAUGGGCGCAAGCCUGAUGCAGCCAUGCCGCGUGUGUGAAGAAGGCCUUCGGGUUGUAAAGCACUUUCAGCGGGGAGGAAGGCGGUGAGGUUAAUAACCUCAGUGAUUGACGUUACCCGCAGAAGAAGCACCGGCUAACUCCGUGCCAGCAGCCGCGGUAAUACGGAGGGUGCAAGCGUUAAUCGGAAUUACUGGGCGUAAAGCGCACGCAGGCGGUCUGUCAAGUCGGAUGUGAAAUCCCCGGGCUCAACCUGGGAACUGCAUUCGAAACUGGCAGGCUAGAGUCUUGUAGAGGGGGGUAGAAUUCCAGGUGUAGCGGUGAAAUGCGUAGAGAUCUGGAGGAAUACCGGUGGCGAAGGCGGCCCCCUGGACAAAGACUGACGCUCAGGUGCGAAAGCGUGGGGAGCAAACAGGAUUAGAUACCCUGGUAGUCCACGCUGUAAACGAUGUCGAUUUGGAGGUUGUGCCCUUGAGGCGUGGCUUCCGGAGCUAACGCGUUAAAUCGACCGCCUGGGGAGUACGGCCGCAAGGUUAAAACUCAAAUGAAUUGACGGGGGCCCGCACAAGCGGUGGAGCAUGUGGUUUAAUUCGAUGCAACGCGAAGAACCUUACCUGGUCUUGACAUCCACAGAACUUUCCAGAGAUGGAUUGGUGCCUUCGGGAACUGUGAGACAGGUGCU
rnacentral:rRNA from 1 species